UGGGGAAUAUUGGACAAUGGGCGAAAGCCUGAUCCAGCAAUGCCGCGUGAGUGAUGAAGGCCUUAGGGUUGUAAAGCUCUUUUACCAGGGAUGAUAAUGACAGUACCUGGAGAAUAAGCUCCGGCUAACUCCGUGCCAGCAGCCGCGGUAAUACGGAGGGAGCUAGCGUUGUUCGGAAUUACUGGGCGUAAAGCGUACGUAGGCGGUGACUCAAGUCAGAGGUGAAAGCCUGGAGCUCAACUCCAGAACUGCCUUUGAAACUAGGUCGCUAGAAUCACGGAGAGGUGAGUGGAAUUCCGAGUGUAGAGGUGAAAUUCGUAGAUAUUCGGAAGAACACCAGUGGCGAAGGCGGCUCACUGGACGUGUAUUGACGCUGAGGUACGAAAGCGUGGGGAGCAAACAGGAUUAGAUACCCAGGUAGUCCCUGAGCGGGCUGGCAAGGCG
rnacentral:rRNA from 1 species